ACAGUCUCUACUGUAGAGCCUGAACUACAGGACAAAUACAGGAGACAGCUGCACCAACAGGUGUAUAUUCUAAUGGAAGGCUUAGUGGAUUCUCUGUGUGUGCUGUUGGAUGAGUCUGCAGAGGAACAUACUUGAGCUGACACACACACACACACACCACACACACACACACACACACACACACACACACACACACACACACACACACACACACACACACACACACACACACACACACACACACACACACACACACACACACACACAGCUCUCUGAUCACACUAUAAUAAAUUCCACUCUUCCCUAACACACAUAUUUGUACAGAGAAUCCAUCACAGGUGCAGAGGUUUAUUUCCUCACUAUGACAUCAAUAAACUUGCUUUGUGAACUU